rnacentral:rRNA from 1 species
GUAGGGAAUAUUGGGCAAUGGAGGCAACUCUGACCCAGCCAUGCCGCGUGCAGGAUGACGGCCCUCUGGGUUGUAAACUGCUUUUAUACGGGAAGAAAAAAUACUACGUGUAGUAUACUGACGGUACCGUAAGAAUAAGGAUCGGCUAACUCCGUGCCAGCAGCCGCGGUAAUACGGAGGAUCCAAGCGUUGUCCGGAUUUAUUGGGUUUAAAGGGUGCGUAGGCGGAUCUUUAAGUCAGUGGUGAAAGCCUGCAGCUUAACUGUAGAAUUGCCAUUGAAACUGAAGAUCUUGAAUGUGGUUAAAGUAGGCGGAAUGUAGCAUGUAGCGGUGAAAUGCUUAGAUAUGAUACAGAACACCGAUAGCGAAGGCAGCUUGCUGAACCAUUAUUGACGCUGAGGCACGAAAGCGUGGGGAGCGAACAGGAUUAGAAACCCUGGUGUCC